UUUUUACAGCGGCUGACUUUAUGAGGCAUUUUUCUUCUGGAGGUUCGCUGAGAAGACAAGAACCCAACAAUGUACCAACAGAGGAAGACAACAUAAAGACCCAUAAACCCUGGAGUCAAGAAGCCAGCAUUGACCUGUUUGAGAUGAAUAAUUAUUUAGGACACUUUGUAAAAAUUCCAUAACAGUUGAUUAUUGAAAGCUCUAAUAUCAUUCAUUCUUACUUUUUGAUGGAGAGAAACACUGGUCAUUAGUUGUAGUAGUACAAAUGUCCAGCUAAUAAAGAAUAUGUUAAGCAUGCAA